rnacentral:rRNA from 1 species
AGGGUUUGAUUAUGGCUCAGGAUGAACGCUGGCGGCGUGCCUAACACAUGCAAGUCGAACGAUGAAACCGCCCUCGGGCGGACAUGAAGUGGCGAACGGGUGAGUAACACGUGACCAACCUGCCCCUUGCUCCGGGACAACCUUGGGAAACCGAGGCUAAUACCGGAUACUCCUCGCCCCCCUCCUGGGGGGCCCGGGAAAGCCCAGACGGCAAGGGAUGGGGUCGCGGCCCAUUAGGUAGUAGGCGGGGUAACGGCCCACCUAGCCCGCGAUGGGUAGCCGGGUUGAGAGACCGACCGGCCACAUUGGGACUGAGAUACGGCCCAG